GAUGAACGCUGGCGGCGUGCCUAAUACAUGCAAGUCGAGCGAAGCGGGGACGGGUGAGUAACACCUGGAUAACCCCCUAUAAGACUGGGAUAAUUUCGGGAAACCGGAGCUAAACCGGUUACUUAUAGAUGGAUCCGCGCUGCAUUAGCUAGUUGGUAAGGUAACGGCUUACCAAGGAAACGAUGCAUAGCCGACUUGAGAGGGUGAUCGGCCACACUGGAACUUAGACACGGUCCAGACUCCUACGGGAGGCAGCAGUAGGGAAUCUUCCGCAGUGGGCGCAAUCCUGACGCAGCAACGCCGCGUGAGUGAUGAAGUUCUUCGGAUCGUAAAGCUCUGUUAUUAUGGAAGCGGUACCUAAUCAGAAAGCCACGGCUAACUACGUGCCAGCAGCCGCGGUAAUUC
rnacentral:rRNA from 1 species